rnacentral:misc_RNA from 1 species
AAAAAAGGCGUACUCAAUGAUUAGAAUAUUGACACACUUUCUAUGACCAUACCUCGAGGCCACGUUAUUUGUUUUUGAGGCAAUCAUUAUGUAAACUAGGGUCCUAUAAUAAAAAGAGGGUGGCGUAAAGAAUUGAAACAUUCUAGAAGACCAAGAGCACAAAUUCUGUAAAAUGGAGAGUUUUCUUAACACACAGCGAAAAAUGUCUGCUGCUGAAAUUCAACCAAAGUCUUGUUCAUUGAAAGGAGAAUCCUUUUACUUGCAUCAAGAACUUAGAAAGAUGGGGAUCUCGAACACAGAGGUAGCAGACCCCCUGGUUAACUGUGAGGAAGCCUACAGAACAUUGCUGACUCCAAAAGCAGUUCAGUUUCUCUCAGAACUUGUUCAAGAAUUUGAUCAGAAAGUCACACAGGUGCUACAAGCGAGAGAAUGGAGAAAACUAGAGUUGAAACAGUCUGACACUCUUCCUGAUUUUGAUCCAAGCACUGCUCACAUUCGACAGUCAAGUUGGACUGUCUCUCCUGUUCCCAGAAGGCUUCAGUGUCGCCAUGUUGACCUUGGUGAUGUGUCUCCUAGCAACACGUCCCACUUUGUUGCCGCACUGAAAUCUUCAGCACAAGGAAUACAGACUGACUUUGAUGAUGGCCAUUGUCCGACCUGGACCAACCAGCUCCAAGGGUUACAUAAUGUCUACCGAGCGGUACACAACACCUUACCAGGUGUUCCAAACAUCCAGGAUGCUCCUGUACUGAUGCUUAGACCUAGAGCAUGGAACAUGGUGGAACAUAACUUGAUGGUGAAUGGCAAAGAGGUUCCAGGCCCAUUAUUUGACUUUGGCCUUCUCAUGUUUCAUAAUGCUAGUAUUUUGUUGGAGACGGAAAGUGGACCCUUUUUUUACCUUUCAAAAUUAGAGAGCAGUAAAGAAGCUGCAUUGUGGGAUGCUGUUUUCAGUUGGACGGAGAAAAAGCUUAAAUUGCCACAUGGAUGUGUGAAAGCUUGCGUGUUAAUUGAGAAUGUACUAGCCUCGUUUGAAAUGCAUGAAAUCCUCUAUGCACUGAAAGAUCAUUCUUUGGGACUUAACUGUGGGAUCUGGGAUUAUUCCGCCUCUUUCAUCAACAAAUUUGGACACCGUCGAGACUUUCUUUUACCCGACAGAAAUAAAUAUGUUUCCAUGGACCGCCAUUUUCUAAAAAGCUACAUGGAUUUAGUGGUACAGACUUGCCAUCAACGUGGUUGCCAUGCAACAGGAGGAAUGGCAGCUCUACUACUUCCUCAAAUGUCUACAGAAAAUUACUCAAAAUAUCAGGAAAUUCAAGACAAAGUUUUGAGGGCUAAACAGAAGGAGAUAGAGGCAGGAGUGGAUGGCUUCAUGGUUUAUGAUGUUCGUUUGGUUCAACCAUCUCAGCAGUUGUGGAAAAGACUCACCUCUUCAGAAAAUCAGUAUUCCAAGUUAAGGUCGGAGGUCAAGGUCACUAAUAAAGACUUGUUAUUAAUGCCUUCAGGUGGUGUUACUCAUGAUGGUCUAAGACAUAACAUAGCUGUGUAGGCCAUUACUAUUUCAAAGGUGCCGUAGAAGACUCGGCAACUGCUGAGAUAUCCCGAUCACAGAUUUGGCAGUGGAUUAGAUUUGGCGCAGUCCUAGAAGAUAAUGGCAAGCAGGUUACCAUGGCAAUGGUGAAGAGUCUGAUAUUAGAGACAGUGCAGGAAAGAUUCUGGUCCAAGGAGACCCGACACAUAGUGACCGACAAGGACCGACAGAGGCUGCUGAGUGCCGCACAGAUGUUCCAGGAGAUCAUCUCCAAACUCGAUUUUCCCGAGUUUAUUACCACUUAUCUAAAUCUGGACCACACGUUUUUGAAGAGCCAGUCUGCCUUCUCUUUCUUGAGCAUGUCAGCAGUGGAAUCUCAUUUAUAAUGCAGAUUUCUGUUAAUUUUUGUUGUUGCCUAGUCACUGCUAAAGUUUUCAAACUUUCAUAAUUUAGCAAACCUUGGUUGAUUUAUCAAUGGCCUUCGUCAUUACAUGAAGUAUGAAUCGGUUGAGGUGUGCCAUCUAUAAAAGGAAAUUUUGGUAGUAUUUUCUAUGCAAUAUGUAUUGAUCAACAAUACAGAUGAUUUACUAUUGCUCACUAUGCUAUGAAUAAAGAUUAGAGAUGUUAUGAUAAUAAUAUACCAGUACUGUUC